GCCAUGUUGAAACAACAUGGUGGCUAAGUAUCUAAAAUGAAGAUGCUGUUGGUGAGUACAGUACUCACUGAGGUCUAGCUUAGGAGGUGAGUAAGCAGAGUUUGAUUUCAUCUUGAUUUCAAGCGCAUGAGAAGGACAGGAUGUGGGGGCACAUCAGCUUCCUCUUCCAGAAUGUGGGGCAGGGGGCCCCCUGAACACAAGGCCCAGGCAGAAUCCUCUAGCUAACAUCAUUCAUUUGUUUCAGAGUGACCGACGCUGCUCCAGAUCCUCAUAAGAGGCCCCAGGCUAAAAUCAGAAGUGCCCCUUCCAGCUUUAAUAUGCAAUUUUGCCAGCCCAACCACAGAACAUCUCAUAUUGGUUGAUUAAGAGGAGGAAAAACUAAAUGUUGGUUACAGUUCUAAAAUGAUGCCAGUCCUAGAGAAGUGCAGCUUUGCUGUAACCAUCAGGGUUAAGCCUAACAAGGCAGCUCAUGUACUUUCCAGGCUGUUUUCCAGCUGGUAAGUGAAUAUUUCUCUACUGCACGUGGUGCAGAGAGCUCAGCCCAGCUCAAGGACAGUUUGUUCCAACAGAGUUUUUAGGCCAGUUCCAACAUGCCUUUGAAUCCUCUUACUUCCGGAGUGAUUCACUUCCAUUUCCUCUUUUGCCAAGUAGGGGAAAUAGCCAUCCCUGUUUCUCAUCCUUGGUAAAUGUUGUAAGAAGAAAUAUUUUGAAUGAGAUGGAGAGUGUGGAGCCAUAUGGAUAGUGAGCUCCUGGAGGGAAGACCCUGCAGCUUCUACAAUGGUGACUGAGAAAGAGUAGACACUCAGGAUGUUGAAUGAGCCAUAACAUUCCUUUCCAAGACUGUAUUGGAGAUUCAAUAAGAUAUGGAAAAAAUACCUAAGACAGUGCCUGGUAGACAGCAGGCACCGGAGAUGGAAGACAGCCCGUCUGCAUUACAGUAGUCCCCCUUGUUGUGGGGGAUACGUUCCAAGACCCCCAGUGGACGCCUGAAACUGCAGACCACAGUUGACAGCAGGUUACCAAAACCGCAAAAAGUGAAACCUCAAAUAAGGGGGCACUACUGAAGUUUUGUUCUGCAAAAUGUGGGUUGGAAACCUGCAUAAUGAGUUUUCAUAAGAAAGGCAAGACUUGCUGAUGACCUCUGUGGACUUCAAUUUCUUCCUCUAUUUAUAUGCAAACUAAAUAGUAUGGUCUCUCCUAGUGGGGAAAACUCUGAAAAUUCCAUGCCUCUCUAAUCACAGCCACUAGAGCUCCCAUUUCUCAGAUUCUCUUGCAAAGUGGAUGUCAAGGCAGCUCUCUCCUCUGUAGGAUUGCUACAGAAGGAAGAGAAGCCCCUGGAAGCCUGGCAGAAGCUGCAUUUUCCUCCGUGGCCCCUCCUCCGGAGCUGCGCUGCGCUGCGUGUUGUUGCAGUUGUACUGUACUGUUCUACCGCAUGGAUUCAUAGUUAACAUUUUUCUUCCAGGCACAUUCAAAACAUUUGGCUUGCAUCCUCCUUGAGCUGUUUUAUAAGGGCAAUAACCGAGGCCAGGGUGUGCUCUUGUCAGCAGGCAAAGCACGCAGCGGAGGCUGCCAAAGAGUUUCCUGCUCAGGGGCCACCCAUCCUUGGCUGCAGGACACAAGGCUGGAGCUCAUGGCAACUUGCACAGAGCGAGCGCCGGGACUUUCUGUUCUCAGGGCUCAUGCUUUGGAUUCCAGCCUUCAGCCCUGCUGCAUUGAUCAGUGGAGGCUGUUGUGUUUGUGCUUGUUUGGGACGAGCUCAGAACACAUGUCACAGCAGUGGUUCAAGGCCUAGCUCUAAGGCUUGGAGCUGGGAGAAUGCUCUUUAAAGACUAGCAAGCCGCUCUUCCCGCCUGUUAAUGCAGGCACAGAGUUCCCACGGAUCAGCUGCAGGGGAGAAAGGCAUUCCCUUCAUCCCACUCUCUGUGAAUUAACUUCGGGAAGGACAGACAACACAGACGCCAAAUGGAGGGUUCCAACACUGCUACCCCACCCUCUCUGAAGUCCACCUUGGCAGAAGCGGAUCUCUUCUCAUGUGUUAUUUAUUGCCAAAGACCGUGACCGGGAGAAUCCGCAAUAGAUCCCUGAAGCUGUUUUUUCAGGAUUUCCUUUGAUUGGAAGCUCUUGGCUGUGCCUUCUGCAGCUGGCUCUGUCACAGAGCUGAGGGCUCAGAGUGUCCCCCAAGUGACAGCUGCCAUGCCAGCACAAAGGAGGGUCUGGCUGUGAAAGUGCCUUGAUGCUCUAAAGAACACACAAAUGGACAGGGUAUUGUUACUCCUUCACUCACCAGCAGGGAGGCAAUGCGAUGUCAUGAGCGGAAGGAACACGGGCUCAAGCCCCAGAGACGCAAGUUGAAAUGUCAGCUCUUCCACUGACCCACAGUGUGGGCUUGGUCUCAGUCUUCUCGUCUGUAAAAUGGCAAUGAAAAGAUUUACCCCCAAACUUUCAGCCAAGAAUCAAUAAGACACAGCAUGCAAUGUUCAGCUCCUUUCCUCUAAAUUCCAAACUUAGUCUGGAAAUUUUAAAGCCGUUUAGAUGACCCUAAAUACUUUCUUUAUCUUUUUCAUUUAUCCAUUAUUCAUUCUGUCAGCAUUCAAUAAAUAAGAAAGAAUAUUUCAG
ensembl:lncRNA